rnacentral:SRP_RNA from 1 species
GCCGGGCGCAGUGGCUCAUGCCUGUAAUCCCAGCACUUGGGAGGCUGAGGUGGGUGGAUCACCUGAGGUCAGGAGUUUGAGACCAGCCUGGCCAACAUGGUGAAACCCCAUCUCUA